UACGGAGGAUCCGAGCGUUAUCCGGAUUUAUUGGGUUUAAAGGGAGCGUAGGUGGAUUGUUAAGUCAGUUGUGAAAGUUUGCGGCUCAACCGUAAAAUUGCAGUUGAAACUGGCAGUCUUGAGUACAGUAGAGGUGGGCGGAAUUCGUGGUGUAGCGGUGAAAUGCUUAGAUAUAACUUAGAACUCCGAUAGCGAAGGCAGCUUACCAGACUGCGACUGACGCUGAAGCACGAGAGCGUGGGUAGCGAACAGG
rnacentral:rRNA from 1 species